GACGAACGCUGGCGGCGGGCUUAACACAUGCAAGUCGAGCGGAAAGGCCACUUCGGUGGUACUCGAGCGGCGAACGGGUGGGUAACACGUGGGUAAUCUGCCCCUCACUUUUUGAUAGCCACCGGAAACGGUGAUUAAUACCGGAUAUGACCAUAUGUCGCAUGGCGUGUGGUGGAAAGUUUUUCGGUGGGGGAUGUGCUCGCGGCCUAUCAGCUUGAUGGUGGGGUAAUGGCUCACCAUGGCUUCGACGGGUAGCCGGCCUGAGAGGGUGACCGGUCACACUGGGACUGAGACACGGCCCAGACUCCUACGGGAGGCAGCAGUGGGGAAUAUUGGACAAUGGGCGGAAGCCUGAUCCAGCAACGCCGCGUGAGGGAUGACGGCCUUCGGGUUGUAAACCUCUUUCAGUACCGACGAAGCGCAAGUGACGGUAGGUACAGAAGAAGCACCGGCCAACUACGUG
rnacentral:rRNA from 1 species